GCUUACGGCCAUACCACCUUAGGCACGCCCGAUCUCGCCUGAUCUCGGAAGCUAAGCAGGGUCGGGCCUGGUUAGUACUUGAAUGGGUGACCGCCUGGGAAUACCAGGUGCUGUAAGCA
ensembl:rRNA 5S_rRNA 5S ribosomal RNA